GACGAACGCUGGCGGCGUGCCUAACACAUGCAAGUCGAGCGAGGAUUAGUGAAAGUGGCUUGCCACAGAUUUAAUCCUAGCGGCGGACGGGUGAGUAACGCGUGGGUAACCUACCUUAAACAGGGGGAUAACACCGGGAAACCGGUGCUAAUACCGCAUAACAUUAUUGUAUAGCAUUAUAUAAUAAUCAAAGGAGAAAUCCGGUAUAAGAUGGACCCGCGUCCGAUUAGCUAGUUGGUAAGGUAAUAGGCUUACCAAGGCGACGAUCGGUAGCCGAACUGAGAGGUUGAUCGGCCACAUUGGGACUGAGACACGGCCCAGACUCCUACGGGAGGCAGCAGUGGGGAAUAUUGCGCAAUGGGGGAAACCCUGACGCAGCAACGCCGCGUGAAGGAUGAAGGCUUUCGGGUUGUAAACUUCUUUGAUUGGGAAGAAAAAAUGACGGUACCCAAAAAACAAGCCACGGCUAACUACGUAG
rnacentral:rRNA from 1 species